rnacentral:rRNA from 1 species
UUAAUAGCGUGCUCGUUUGACGUUAGCUGCAGAAGAAGCACCGGCUAACUCCGUGCCAGCAGCCGCGGUAAUACGGAGGGUGCGAGCGUUAAUCGGAAUUACUGGGCGUAAAGCGCAUGCAGGUGGUUUGUUAAGUUCAGAUGUGAAAGCCCCGGGGCUCAACCUCGGAAUUGCAUUUGAAACUGGCAGACUAGAGUACUGUAGAGGGGGUAGAAUUUCAGGUGUAGCGGUGAAAAUGCGUAGAGAUCUGAAGGAAUACCGGUGGCGAAGGCGGCCCCCCUGGACAGAUACUGACACUCAGAUGCGAAAAGCGUGGGGAGCAAACAGGAUUAGAUACCCUGGUAG